GACGAACGCUGGCGGCGUGCUUAACACAUGCAAGUCGAACGGAAAAGCGCUGCUUUUGUGGGGGGCUGGAGUGGAGAAGGGGAGGGUAGCGUGUGAGGAGAGUGACCUGGACUCUGGGAUAAGUUAAGGGAACUGGGGUUAAUACAGGAUAGGAGCUCCUGCUGCUUGGUGGGGGUUGGAAAGGGUCGGCGGUUGGGUAUGGACUUGAGGGCUGUCAGGUUGUUGGGGGGGUUGUGGGUUACAAGGGCUUUGACGGGUAGCCGGCGUGGGAGGGUGGGCGGUCACAAUGGGACUGCGACACGGUUGAGACUCCUACGGGACGCAGCAGCGUGGAAUAGUGCACAAUGGGCGCAAGCGUGAUGCAGCGACGCCGCGGGUGCGAUGGCGGCCUUCGGGUUGUGAACCUCUUUCGCCAGUGAAGCAGGCCUGCCUCGUUUGUGGGUGGGUUGACGGUAGCUGGAUAAGAAGCGCCGGCUAACUACGUG
rnacentral:rRNA from 1 species